GAUUAAGCCAUGCAUGUCUAAGUAUAAGCAAUUAUACAGCGAAACUGCGAAUGGCUCAUUAAAUCAGUUAUCGUUUAUUUGAUAGUACCUUACUACAUGGAUAACCGUGGUAAUUCUAGAGCUAAUACAUGCUGAAAACCCCGACUUCGGAAGGGGUGUAUUUAUUAGAUUAAAAACCAAUGCCCUCCGGGGCUUACUGGUGAUUCAUGAUAACUUCUCGAAUCGCACGGCCUUGCGCCGGCGAUGGUUCAUUCAAAUUUCUGCCCUAUCAACUUUCGACGGCUGGGUCUUGGCCAGCCGUGGUGACAACGGGUAACGGAGGGUUAGGGCUCGACCCCGGAGAAAACGCCUGAGAAACGGCGUUUACAUCCAAGGAAGGCAGCAGGCGCGCAAAUUACCCAAUGCCGACACGGCGAGGUAGUGACGAGAAAUACUGAUACAGGGCUCUUUUGGGUCUUGUAAUUGGAAUGAGUACAAUUUAAAUCCCUUAACGAGGAACAAUUGGAGGGCAAGUCUGGUGCCAGCAGCCGCGGUAAUUCCAGCUCCAAUAGCGUAUAUUAAAGUUGUUGCAGUUAAAAAGCUCGUAGUUGAACCUUGGGCCUGGCUGGCCGGUCCGCCUCACCGCGUGCACUGGUCCGGCCGGGCCUUUCCCUCUGGGGAACCCCAUGCCCUUCACUGGGCGUGGCGGGGAACCAGGACUUUUACUUUGAAAAAAUUAGAGUGUUCAAAGCAGCCUAUGCUCGAAUACAUUAGCAUGGAAUAAUAGAAUAGGACGUGCGGUUCUAUUUUGUUGGUUUCUAGGACCGCCGUAAUGAUUAAUAGGGACAGUCGGGGGCGUCAGUAUUCAAUUGUCAGAGGUGAAAUUCUUGGAUUUAUUGAAGACUAACUACUGCGAA
rnacentral:rRNA from 1 species